rnacentral:rRNA from 1 species
UACGUAGGUGGCAAGCGUUGUCCGGAAUUAUUGGGCGUAAAGCGCGCGCAGGUGGUCCUUUAAGUCUGAUGUGAAAGCCCCCGGCUCAACUGGGGAGGGUCACGCGAUACUGAUCGACUCGAAGGCAGGAGAGGGAAGUGGAAUUCCCGGUGUAGUGGUGAAAUGCGUAGAUAUCGGGAGGAACACCAGUGGCGAAGGCGACUUCCUGGGCCU